UCACCGUCGAAGUGCCCGAUCAUUCUAGCUUUGAAAUUUCUAAUGCCGGGUGCUUCUCUGCAUUUCGUUCUCUAAAACUUUGGAACACUAUGAGCAAUGAGCUUUCUGCAGUUUGAUUAUGUCUAAUGCUAGACAUGAGCAAGAAGCAUACUGGAACAAUGAGCACAUAUUGGCCUACACCUCUGAGAUCUGCA